CCCAGGAGCUGGAAGGCUGUCAGGACUUGCUAGUGAGCUCUGAUAGCAGGAACAAAAACAGCACCCUGAGCCUGGCAACCCCAAGCCCAGCAGUUGCCGAGGUCACCUGCCCCUAAAUCCGGCCUUGAAGCACUACAGUUGUCUACAGCCAGCUAAGUCAGAUCCUGAUGUCUCAACUAUCUUUCCCAUGCUCAUCACUGUGGUCACUGAGCCUAAGAGGAGUCAUUGUUAGUUCAGUAGGAUUCUGAAUGUGUGGUUGAGCCACAAAAUAAAAAUUCUCAUGAAAUGCUUGACA